GACGAACGUUGGCGGCGUGCUUAACACAUGCAAGUCGAACGGAAAGGCCCUGCUUUUGUGGGGUGCUCGAGUGGCGAACGGGUGAGUAACACGUGAGUAACCUGCCCUUGACUUUGGGAUAACUUCAGGAAACUGGGGCUAAUACCGGAUAGGAGCUCCUGCUGCAUGGUGGGGGUUGGAAAGUUUCGGCGGUUGGGGAUGGACUCGCGGCUUAUCAGCUUGUUGGUGGGGUAGUGGCUUACCAAGGCUUUGACGGGUAGCCGGCCUGAGAGGGUGACCGGCCACAUGGGGACUGAGAUACGGCCCAGACCCCUACGGGGGGCAGCGGUGGGGAAUAUUGCACAAUGGGCGGAAGCCUGAGGCAGCAACGCCGCGUGGGGGAAGACGGCCUUCGGGUUGUAAACCGCUUUCGCCUGUGACGAAGCGUGAGUGACGGUAAUGGGUAAAGAAGCACCGGCUAACUACGU
rnacentral:rRNA from 1 species